rnacentral:tRNA from 1 species
AGAAAAGUAAGCUAAAAUAAGCUAGUGGGUUCAUACCCCAUUAAUAGAGGUUCCUCUCUUCUCUA